rnacentral:rRNA from 1 species
UACGUAGGGGCCAAGCGUUGUCCGGAUUUAUUGGGCGUAAAGAGCUCGUAGGCGGUUCGGCAAGUCAGCUGUGAAAUCUCCACGCUCAACGUGGAGGGGUCAGCUGAUACUGCUGUGACUUGAGUCCGGUAGGGGAGUGUGGAAUUCCCGGUGUAGCGGUGAAAUGCGCAGAUAUCAGGAGGAACACCAAUUGCGAAGGCAGCUCGCUGGGACGUUACUGACGCUGAGACGCGAAAGCGUGGGGAGCAAACAGG